ACUCCUCACAAGUCCUCCCGUUCCUCGCUGGGCAGGGAGGCUCCGCCGCCACCCUCCUCCCCGGCCUCCCUCCACUCCGGUCACCCUCCUCGCUGGCCUCCGUGUCGGCCACUGUACCCGCCGUCCGCCGGCCGCCCUACCACCGGCCGCGCCGGCCGCCCUUCGCACCGUCCACACCGACCGCCCUCCACGCCGGCCACCCUCCACGCCGUCCGCGCCCUUCCAGCCCCUGCCCCUUCACCCAGGGUUUGAUUUGGCUGUCUGCGAGAGCGGGUGAUUGGCCUUGCGGCUCGCAAAAGAGGUCCAGAUCGACAACCACCGUGGGCAGCUCUGUCGAGUUCAGCUACAAGGUAACCAUUACUGCUUUAGAGUAGAUCGACAAACACGUUGUCUGUAUUUGUCACAGCUACUUCCGGAUUCUGUAAAGCUAUUUGUGUGCGAUCAAUCUUUUUCUGUA